rnacentral:lncRNA from 1 species
CACAAAUGAGAAUGCGUUUAUCUCUGAACAGACUGUGAAUGUUUAUUGGUUUUUACCGCAAACAUUCAUGCACAUGUUCCACUGAAUUCUCAGCUCCGUAUGGAAUGCCUGACAUCUUUGAUACCUCUGGACUGGACGCCCCAAGGACAACAGAGGAUGAUGGGAAACUGUCGUGGCACGUGAGCAUUAGUUUGGAAGCAGGUUAUGAAUGCAGUGGGGCGAUCCUCCAGUUGCAAUGGAUCCUUACUGAUGCACACUGUGUCUAUAACCUGGAAGAACGAUAUUUGAGACUUUUAUCAGUGACAGCAGGAGGCUCAAAGAAACAGGUGAGAUGGACAUCAACAAGAAGAACGAGAAACUUGGAUGGAAUGGAAAGAUUUGGAUUUGGGAUCAAAUUCAUUCAUCUUGUCUUAAAGGGAUAGUUCACUCAAAAAAAGUUUUUGGGUGAACUAUUCCUUUAACACAAAUAUCUCUUUCUCAGAUCCGUGACGUGAUUAGUGUAUUUGUACACCCUCAUUACAGCCAAUUCUCUCUCCGACUACAAUGUGGCUUUGCUUAAGCUGAGCUCUCCGUUAAAUCUUCAGUGAAAGUACGCAGCCUGUCUAUCUACCCUCUGCUGGACAGGAAAUCCCACCCUCCCUCCAUUGCUGGGCUCCAGUGUGGACCAGCCAAAUGUGUACGUCACCCGUCUGCCUUCACAAGUUGACCGUUGUGAUGGUUACACAAUAGUCUGGCUGAUAUCUGUGUGUGUGUGCAAACAUGACAUUUCAUGACUACUUGUUGAAUAAAUUGAAAGCUGACCUAGUGUUGAACUGUGAGCUUCAGGUGAAUGUUAUGCACCCUUUUAAGCAGGACAUGGGCAGCGCAGACCUGUACGGCUAAAAAUAACAGUAGUGCAACGAGCGGUGUGUGAACAACGCCACAGAACUAGAUUGACACCUACAAUGCUAUGUGCUGGACUGAGCAGUGGAGAAUCAUGCAUGGUGAGCAACGGUGAACUAAACACUCACGGUUUACUACAAGGAAGUGUAAUUGAAGAAAUGCUGACCUCUAGUGGGGAAGUUUGGUAAUGAUUUUUAAAAUGCAUCCUCAGUUACUUUAAGGGAUAAGUCAUGCAAAAAUGAAAAUUCUGUCAUUAAUUACACACCCUCAUGUCCUUCCAAACCCGUGAGACCUUCGUUCAUCUUCAGAACACAAAUUAAGAUAUUUCUGAUGAAAUCCAAGAGCUCUCUGACCCACGGUGAAUGCGUGUGGUGCUGCUGACGUAGACCCCGCAUGUGCUGCACCUUGUUUACUGGCAAAUGAACACACACGCAUGCAUCAUGGUACUCUCGGUAAUGGCAGCAGACUCUCCCAGGAGAGAAAUAAUCAUUGAAUAAAGUUGUUAUUUUUGUUUACUUUGCGCACAAAGUAUUCUCAUAGCUUCGUAAAAUUACAGUUGAACCACUGAUGUCACAUGCACCAUUUUAAUGAUGUCCUUAUACUACAUUUCUCUGCCUUGAUCGUAGUAGGACCCUUGCUGUCUAUGGAGUGUCAGAAAGCUCUCAGAUUUCAUCAAAAAUAUUUUAAUUUACAUUUUGCCAUACAUAUGUCCAAAAUUUUGUGCAAAUUUAAAAUUCACUGCACUACACUAUACUUCUACACUAGUUUAAUAUGCAAAUUAAAAACAUAUUUUAUCACUUUAUAAGUUGCAAAAUUAAAAUGAAAAUGCAUGACCCAAAUUGAUUAGAUAUGGUUAACAUGUCCAAGCAAAAACUGUAGCAAAAUUAUCAUUUAAAUGCUGUUUUUCCUAAAUGCAUUUAGAUUUAGGGGCAGGACACUCGGGAUUGCAUUUUCAUCAUAAUACCGCAUGAUAAUUGUAGCAAAAUGCAGUGAGAAUUUCAGAAUGCAUUUUGAGCCAAAGGUGCAGCAAAAGGGUAGCAAAAUUGUGAUUUAAAUGUCUUUUAUUUUUCUUAAAUGCAUUGACACUUCCAUAUAAGAAAUUUCAAUAGCAUUUUCAUUUAAUACCUUGCGAUGAAUUUAGUUUAAGUCAAUGUGGAAAGCGUUUGGUUGACGGGGAAUAUUGACCUAUUGUGCAUCCUGUUGCCGAGCCCCGCCUAGAUGUACAGUAGCAUA